rnacentral:rRNA from 1 species
AUUGAACGCUGGCGGCAGGCUUAACACAUGCAUGUCGAGCGGCAGCGGAAAGUAGCUUGCUACUUUGCCGGCGAGCGGCGGACGGGUGAGUAAUGUCUGGGAAACUGCCCGAUGGAGGGGGAUAACUACUGGAAACGGUAGCUAAUACCGCAUAACGUCGCAAGACCAAAGAGGGGGACCUUCGGGCCUCUUGCCAUCGGAUGUGCCCAGAUGGGAUUAGCUAGUAGGUGGGGUAACGGCUCACCUAGGCGACGAUCCCUAGCUGGUCUGAGAGGAUGACCAGCCACACUGGAACUGAGACACGGUCCAGACUCCUACGGGAGGCAGCAGUGGGGAAUAUUGCACAAUGGGCGCAAGCCUGAUGCAGCCAUGCCGCGUGUAUGAAGAAGGCCUUCGGGUUGUAAAGUACUUUCAGCGGGGAGGAAGGUGUUGAGGUUAAUAACCUCAGCAAUUGACGUUACCCGCAGAAGAAGCACCGGCUAACUCCGUGCCAGCAGCCGCAGUAA